rnacentral:rRNA from 1 species
GAACGUACGCUGGCGGCACGCCUAACACAUGCAAGUCGAACGAAGUAGCAAUACUUAGUGGCAGACGGGUGAGUAACAUGUAGGUAUCUGCCCUUUGGCCUGGAAUAACACGAGGAAACUUGUGCUAAUACCGGAUAAGUCUUUACAGAGAAAGCUUUAUGCACCAUUGGAUGAGCCUGCACUUGAUUAGUUUGUUGGUGGGGUAAUGGCCUACCAAGACUGUGAUCAAUAGCUGAUUUGAGAGGAUGAUCAGCCACAUUGGGACUGAGACACGGCCCAAACUCCUACGGGAGGCAGCAGUGGGGAAUCUUGCACAAUGGAGGAAACUCUGAUGCAGCGAUGCCGCGUGAGUGAAGAAGGCCUUUGGGUUGUAAAGCUCUUUCGUCGGGGAAGAAAAUGACUGUACCCGAAUAAGAAGGUCCGGCUAACUUCGUGCCAGCAGCCGCGGUAAUACGAAGGGACCUAGCGUAGUUCGGAAUUACUGGGCUUAAAGAGUUCGUAGGUGGUUGAAAAAGUUAGUGGUGAAAUCCCAGAGCUUAACUCUGGAACUGCCAUUAAAACUUUUUAGCUAGAGUAUGAUAGAGGAAAGCAGAAUUUCUAGUGUAGAGGUGAAAUUCGUAGAUAUUAGAAAGAAUACCAAUUGCGAAGGCAGCUUUCUGGAUCAUUACUGACACUGAGGAACGAAAGCAUGGGUAGCGAAGAGGAUUAGAUACCCUCGUAGUCCAUGCCGUAAACGAUGUGUGUUAGACGUUGGAAAUUUAUUUUCAGUGUCGCAGCGAAAGCGAUAAACACACCGCCUGGGGAGUACGACCGCAAGGUUAAAACUCAAAUGAAUUGACGGGGACCCGCACAAGUAGUGGAGCAUGUGGUUUAAUUCGAAGAUACGCGCAGAACCUUACCAACACUUGACAUGUUCGUCGCGACUCUAAGAGAUUAGAGUUUUCGGUUCGGCCGGACGAAACACAGGUGCUGCAUGGCUGUCGUCAGCUCGUGUCGUGAGAUGUUGGGUUAAGUCCCGCAACGAGCGCAACCCUCACUUUUAGUUGCCAUCAUUAAGUUGGGCACUCUGAAAGAACUGCCAGUGAUAAGCUGGAGGAAGGUGGGGAUGACGUCAAGUCCUCAUGGCCCUUACGUGUUGGGCUACACACGUGCUACAAUGGCAUCUACAACAGGAAGCAAAACGGCAACGUUAAGCAAAUCCCGAAAAGAUGCCUCAGUUCGGAUUGCACUCUGCAACUCGAGUGCAUGAAGCUGGAAUUACUAGUAAUCGUGGAUCAGCGUGCCACGGUGAAUGCGUUCCCGGGUCUUGCACACACCGC